rnacentral:lncRNA from 1 species
AGUCAAAGUCCGGGCGGUAGGGGAGGGGUUCCCGUGAUCAAAGCCGGUGGCGCCGGGCCUCACAGGCGGUUCGUACUCUCAGGGCGUCUCGAGCUCCACGCGCGCGGGGACCACCUGUGGGUCUUCGCACUUUCAGAUCGGUGGAGGGCCAAGACCCCGCGUUUCUCCCUGAGGCCGCUCCAGAUCUCUGCACUGUAAGGAGAGAAAAGUAAUCAGCCUGAUCAGUAGUUUUCUAAGCAGCGUCCCGUGCAGCCCUGGCUGGUCUUGAACUCGCUGAGUAGUGGAGGGUAAUCUUGUACUUGGUAUUCUCCUGCCACCAGCUCCCAAUUCUUGCGUUUAUUCCAGCCUGGGGAUGGAACCCAGGUCUUCGAGUAGCCUAAGCUGGUCUGGAACUCAGGAUCCUCUUAUCCUCCAUAGUCACUGGCUGAACAGCAGACUCUCAAACCAUCAUCAGUUUUGAAAUCAGUAUCCCCAGGAAAUGGAGCCAGAAUCCACAGAUGUCAUUAUCCAUCUGCACACGUUUGUUUACUACCCAGAAGGCAAGAUUGCAUUUUAAAAGUCUUGGAUGGUUAUUCUUUCUCAUCACAAGUGACUUCAGAAGCUUUGACCGUUCGCAUUGACCCUGGCUGAAAGUGUCUGUCAAAGCCUUGCUUCCCGGAGUGCUUUGAGACUCUCCUACAAAAGGCAUUUUUCCACAGAGUGGAAAAACAUCAUUUAUAUUCAUCCUUCGCAGUGGCAUUUCUCCCUGGAAUCUUCCUCUUGUCUGUCAACAUUGGGAGAGAGGCACUGACCUCAUCUACAUUACAAAUGGCACAGGUAGGUAAGAUACAUGUUACACACACACACACACACACACACACACACACACACACACACACACACACACACACGGGGUGGGGCAAGGAAGGGAAGGAGAAAAGACUUUUGUUCUUCCUUAGGGAGUCUCAGGUUUGGCUAUCCAUUAACUGGUUGAGCCAAAUAGGUGUGGUAUUACAAAUGUUCUGGUAAGACCUGAGUAUUUGAGUAUUUAACCAAUGCAGUGUUUUGUGGAUUUUAUGUGACAUCCCUGGGGAGAAGGGGCACAUCUGUGCUGAAGGUUGCACAAGAUUGGUUAGUUAGAACCUUCUUGAUUCUGAACAGUUGGAAUAUUGCAGAUCCAGAGCCAAAUUAUCUUGAGCUGCUUUAAUCCCUUCAAUAUCCACCCAUCACCCAGCUCUGUAUCUGACCCAGCAUCUUUUUGACAGUCAGAUAAACUUUUUGGAAUUUAU